rnacentral:tRNA from 2 species
GGGCCUGUAGUCUAGUGGCAGAAUACGUCGUUUGCAACGAUGAGACCUGGGUUCGAUUCCCGGCAGGUCCA